rnacentral:rRNA from 1 species
AGAGUUUGAUCAUGGCUCAGGACGAACGCUGGCGGCGUGCUUAACACAUGCAAGUCAAGGAGAACCUCCGCUUCGGUGGAGUAGUAAACUGGCGAACGGGUGAGUAACACGUGGGUAACCUGCCCUGGAGACUGGGAUAACCCCGAGAAAUCGGAGCUAAUACCGGAUAAUGCAGCGGGUCCUUCGGGACAUUGUUGUUAAAGCGGCCUUCGGGUCGCACUUUAGGAUGGGCCUGCGUCCGAUUAGUUAGUUGGUGAGGUAAUGGCUUACCAAGGCGAUGAUCGGUAGCUGGUUUGAGAGGAUGAUCAGCCACACUGGGAUUGAGAUACGGCCCAGACUCCUACGGGAGGCAGCAGUGGGGAAUUUUGCGCAAUGGGCGAAAGCCUGACGCAGCAACGCCGCGUGAUCGAUGAAGCUUUUCGGAGUGUAAAGAUCUGUCAUGAGGGAAGAACAGUCCUGAUAUAAAUAAUAUCAGGAUUUGACGGUACCUUAUAAGAAAGCACCGGCUAACUUAGUGCCAGCAGCCGCGGUAAUACUAGGGGUGCAAGCGUUGUCCGGAAUUACUGGGCGUAAAGGGUGCGUAGGCGUCUAUGCAAGUUGUUUGUUAAAUCCAUCGGCUUAACCGAUGCUCUGCAAACAAAACUGCAUGGAUAGA